CGGACGGGUGAGUAACACGUGGAUAACCUACCUAUAAGACUGGGAUAACUUCGGGAAACCGUAGCUAAUACCGGAUAAUAUAUUGAACCGCAUGGUUCAAUAGUGAAAGACGGUUUUGCUGUCACUUAUAGAUGGAUCCGCGCCGCAUUAGCUAGUUGGUAAGGUAACGGCUUACCAAGGCAACGAUGCGUAGCCGACCUGAGAGGGUGAUCGGCCACACUGGAACUGAGACACGGUCCAGACUCCUACGGGAGGCAGCAGAG
rnacentral:rRNA from 1 species